rnacentral:lncRNA from 1 species
UCCCUAACCUUUACACUAUUUUUCAAUUUGGUCUCCAACCUUUUUUUUUUUUGGCAAUCGAGUCCCUAAUCUUUUGAUUUCGUUUCAAUUAAGUCCCAACCGUUAGAUAAUUGUUAAAAUUGACGGAAAAUGCCACGUCAGCACCACUUCAGCGCUACGGAGACGCCAUGUCAGCGCCACGAUAGCGCUGUGCCAGCGGAUUGCAAA